rnacentral:rRNA from 1 species
AUUGAACGCUAGCGGCAUGCCUUACACAUGCAAGUCGAACGGCAGCAUGACGUGUAGCAAUACACGUUGAUGGCGAGUGGCGAACGGGUGAGUAAUAUAUCGGAACGUGCCCUGUAGCGGGGGAUAACCUAUCAAAGAUGGACUAAUACCGCAUACGCUCUACGGAGGAAAGCGGGGGUCGCAAGACCUCGCACUAUAGGAGCGGCCGAUAUCGGAUUAGCUAGUUGGCGGGGUAAAGGCCCACCAAGGCGACGAUCCGUAGCCGGUCUGAGAGGAUGAUCAGCCACACUGGAACUGAGACACGGUCCAGACUCCUACGGGAGGCAGCAGUGGGGAAUUUUGGACAAUGGGCGCAAGCCUGAUCCAGCCAUGCCGCGUGAGUGAAGAAGGCCUUCGGGUUGUAAUGCUCUUUCGGCAGGAACGAAAUGGUACGUGCUAAUACCACGGACUGAUGACGGUACCUGAAGAAGAAGCACCGGCUAACUACGUGCC